GUGAGCAACCUGCCUUUCGAGAGGGGGAUAACGCAGAGAAAUUUGCGCUAAUACCGCGAUGAUAUGUACAGAAGCGCAUGCUUCAAACAUCAAAGGAGCAAUCCGCGUGAGAGAUGGGCUCGGCAUCCGAUUAGAUAGUUGGUGAGGUAACGGCUCACCCAAGUCGACGAUCGGUAGCCGGACUGAGAGGUUGAACGGCCACAUUGGAACUGAGAUACGGUCCAGACUCCUACGGGAGGCAGCAGUGGGGAAUAUUGGGCAAUGGGCGAAAGCCUCGACCCAGCAACGCCGCGUGAGGGAAGAAGGUCUUCGGAUUGUAAACCUUUGUCUUAUGGGACGAUAAUGACGGUACCAUAGGAGGAAGCCACGACUAACUACGUGCCAGCCGCUGC
rnacentral:rRNA from 1 species